AAUGAAACCUGAUCUGUUUUUCUUCGCUUUCUUUUUUACCUUCCCCUGAACGGGAGGCCAUUCGUCGUGUGAAAAUGAAAGCGAAGACGAACACCGAAGCCUCCCAACCGGGAGGCUUUUUUUUU
rfam:Triticum urartu cultivar G1812 contig484329, whole genome shotgun sequence.